UGGGGAAUAUUGGACAAUGGGCGAAAGCCUGAUCCAGCAAUGCCGCGUGAGUGAUGAAGGCCUUCGGGUUGUAAAGCUCUUUUGCCCGGGAAGAUAAUGACUGUACCGGGAGAAUAAGCCCCGGCUAACUUCGUGCCAGCAGCCGCGGUAAUACGAAGGGGGCUAGCGUUGUUCGGAAUUACUGGGCGUAAAGCGCACGUAGGCGGCUAUUCAAGUCAGAGGUGAAAGCCUGGAGCUUAACUCCAGAACUGCCUUUGAAACUAGGUAGCUUGAACACGGGAGAGGUAAGUGGAAUUCCGAGUGUAGAGGUGAAAUUCGUAGAUAUUCGGAAGAACACCAGUGGCGAAGGCGACUUACUGGACCGUAGUUGACGCUGAGGUGCGAAAGCGUGGGGAGCAAA
rnacentral:rRNA from 1 species